rnacentral:rRNA from 1 species
GAUGAACGCUGCGGCGUGCCUAAUACAUGCAAGUCGAGCGAACAGAUGAGGAGCUUGCUCCUCUGACGUUAGCGGCGGACGGGUGAGUAACACGUGGAUAACCUACCUAUAAGACUGGGAUAACUUCGGGAAACCGGAGCUAAUACCGGAUAAUAUAUUGAACCGCAUGGUUCAAUAGUGAAAGACGGUUUUGCUGUCACUUAUAGAUCGAUCCGCGCCGCAUUAGCUAGUUGGUAAGGUAACGGCUUACCAAGGCAACGAUGCGUAGCCGACCUGAGAGGGUGAUCGGCCACACUGGAACUGAGACACGGUCCAGACUCCUACGGGAGGCAGCAGUAGGGAAUCUUCCGCAAUGGGCGAAAGCCUGACGGAGCAACGCCGCGUGAGUGAUGAAGGUCUUCGGAUCGUAAAACUCUGUUAUUAGGGAAGAACAAAUGUGUAAGUAACUAUGCACGUCUUGACGGUACCUAAUCAGAAAGCCACGGCUAACUACGUG